ensembl:snRNA U6 U6 spliceosomal RNA
GUGCUCGCUUCGGCAGUACAUACACUAAAACUGGAACAAUACAGAGAAGAUUAGCGUGGCUCUUGUGCAAGGAUGACACGCAAAUUUGAGAAGCAUUCCAUAUUUAA